ensembl:lncRNA
AAGGCAGCCUUUUUCCCCCUGAGCACAACUCUAAUUAACAGCGGUGGAUGUAGAGAGGCCAGGCAAUGUGGAGCUACUAAGAGGGCCUGGGGCACUGGGCAGACUCACUGUCACCUCGGCUUAAGUGCUGGGUCUUGGGCAGCCAUCUCCUCUCAUCAGAUGCUUUCAGGAAAUGGAUGGCCCUUCUGAGUACAUAAACUCCACAAGAUAUCCUCCCCUGCCACUGACUGUGAGUUACCCAUGAGGCUGUGGGGCUACUUUGGGCCGCCCAUUGUGAUCAGGCCUGUGUGCUGAGAUCAUGAGGGGAACCAGAC